GCUUCACUGAGGGUGUCUAAAGAAGUGCGCGGAGAGAAGAGAAAAUGGUGGAUCACGAGUGAAAUCACGUUUUUCCUGUGGGAUAAAAAAGUAGACUUUAGCUAAAGUAAACCUUGAAAAAGGAAACGUAUAUCAAAACGGACAGCUUUGCCAAAGUUUACGUGUUCUCUUUGUUGUUUUAACGUGCGUUUAAGUUACAGAGCGCUCUCUUCGCGGCUGCUGUGGAUAACUUGUGCUAUCAGAUGCAAUGGCGGGAUUCGUUUCAGAAAUGGACAUGGACUGAAAGCAACAGAGGCUUCGUCAGUGCCGUGAGUUUCAAGAGGAGACAAAUUACAUUGCUGAAGAGAGUAGCAAAGGUGUAUUCUCUGGGCAGACGUUUUGAAAAGCUAAAGUUUAGUAACCACCGUUGCCUAAGAGCUGGUAUUGUAGUGUUUUAAGUUUCAGUUCCAUUGUACCUCGCCAUUAACGUUACAUGCGGUACGCGCAUGGUAAUUCCCAGUGAGUGCGUUUAUUGAGGUUGUGAUCGUUAACGUUAAAGUGUUUGGAAGACGGCGAAUACAGUUUAAAGACGAUCACAGAAAAAUACGGAACUGUGCAUUCAUUUUGGAUUGAGGAGUAGCGAGUGUUACCGGUGAUCUGGACACACGGAGGAAUCGAGGGAGAUAGAUUGAACUGCGCCGUAGUGUGAAACACACGCACACUGGAGCAUCCAUCGUUCAUUAGAACUCUAUCGAAGAGGAGAAGUUCCCUGCCAUCCAAAGACAUCUCCCAGCGACUCAUCUCAUCUCAAGUCUACAGAAUGACAGUCUGUGCUCUGAGAGGAAUCAGGCCCCGGAGUCCCACAUAGCCCAACCCUGAUGAGAUGUGGCACCUCAAAUUGAUAUUGCCUAAAAGAAUUCAGCUUAAACCCAGUGGCACCACAGCACUCCUUGAUCCAACAACAGUUUACAACCACUGACAGUAACCUGACCAUCAUCUUCGGCUACGCGGUGCAGGACUGGCAGCCAUACCACGGGCUGGGGCUCCAAGCGCAUCCAGUCCACAAAGUGCCCCAGGUCCAGCUCUGCCCUGCAGUUCACCUGGUGGGGGGUGGAGCCACACACAGGAAACAAGCUCACUUCACAUCCUGCGGCCACCGGGAUCAACUAGAGCACAGCGGGUGAAGCUAAUUAAAAGGCUUUAUUCUUUAGAUUACACUCUCUCCAAGAAAAAAGAUGUGAAGAACAUGAUACCAGAUCACUUAGUCCAGUUUUAAAGACUUUCAGAGAACUGGAGUUCACAUUCAGCUCAGCUAUGAGGAAAACUGAACUGUAAAUGCAGGUGUUGAUUGUCAAGCAUAAUCAUCAGCUGCACUCUAAAUGUGGUUUCAUGCCUUUGCUAAACAGAUGUCCGACUGCACUGAUAACAAGGGAUGAGUCAAGGCGUUUGUUCCACCAGCAACAAAAGUUACAAUUCCAGUGAACUCCUCAGGAGAACUUCUAAAUUUUGAACUUCCAAAAUAUCUAGCAUUAGAUCUGGGAGCAAACUACAACACCAUUCUUGACUACUGACUACUGAGCAUUAUGACUCUUCAUUGUUGAUUUUAACAUUAUGAAAUCUGCUGGCUGUUAGCCCCAAAUUAACAUCAUCAUUUGUAUCACCUUUGCCAUUGACAGGUUGCAGUUAAUGCUUGCAAUGCCACCUGAUUCUCAAUUCGAUUGAGCCAACUUACACGCUUGCUUCUGCUUUCCACUGCGAGGGAUGGCAAGACGUCUCUGUCAGAAUUUAAACAGGCGCAGCUAACCUUAUUAGCGCGAAGGCUUAUUUUUGUCCACACAGGGCAGCGCUGCCACCGUCAUUGCCACCUUUUCUGUUUCUCUCCGUCCCCAUAUCAGAGACCUAUCACUAAAGUUAUGGAUUGAUAAUGACAGGCACAUAAAACACCGGAUGAUCGGUUCCCCUCCCUUUCUCAUCACAUGGUACAUUAAAUAAAAUGCACCUCGCCGUGACGGGAGGAAAACAUUACAGCACACGGCCGGCCGGCUCCAAGGGCCCUGGCAGAACUGCCAUCCCUGUUUAUAAAUGCACUAUUAAACUGCUGAUGUCCACAAUGUCAGUGUCUCUUCGUCACUAAUGGCAUCAGCAGAAUAUUUUUGGAGCGGGGAGAGAAAUAGUGUUAAUUUAGCUGGAUACAGCACACAGUUCUGGAAGCAUAGUCAGACUGCAAGAAAACCUAGUAAAAGAAAGGGGUGGUGUAUUUUGAGAGUAAAAAAAUAAUUGUGUUGUGGAUUAAUCUUUACCAUUCAUCCCCUCAGAAAGCAAGCCAAAUCCAUAUGAAACUAUCUGAAAAAGCCUACAUUUCUGAUUUACUUUGUAAUACCCAAAAUGCUAUUGUCCACUGUCGUGAAAUUGUUUCACCCUUGCCUGAAGUUCUUAAAACUGGUUUUGUGCAUUUGAUUUGAUUAGUAUGAAUGAACAGCUCUUAUGAAUGCUAUUUAUCCUGUGCCAAUGGGUACAUGUGUAAACACCUAUAUUACAUUACCAGAAAGACUGCCAAGCAGUUACUUCAAUAUUUUUUUGCUCGGUAUUGAGCUUUUUUGCAAGAAACUGGGCCAAAAUAGAGUAGAUAUUCAAUCCUGAAACAAAAACACUGAUUUCUGCAUGAAAGGAAAUGUGCCAAAGAGGUUUAACAGAAAUGUAAGGACAUAGAUAUCCAUUGAAAAUUUGUAGGAUAAACUGAACCGGAAUUACCUUAACAUUUUUGAUUCAUGCAGCCUGUACAACCAUAAAAUGCUUAUUUUGUGUCUAAUAAAAGAAAAUAAGCAAUAAUAAA